rnacentral:rRNA from 1 species
AGUGAACGCUGGCGGUAGGCCUAACACAUGCAAGUCGAACGGCAGCACAGUAAGAGCUUGCUCUUACGGGUGGCGAGUGGCGGACGGGUGAGGAAUACAUCGGAAUCUACUUUUUCGUGGGGGAUAACGUAGGGAAACUUACGCUAAUACCGCAUACGACCUACGGGUGAAAGCAGGGGAUCUUCGGACCUUGCGCGAUUGAAUGAGCCGAUGUCGGAUUAGCUAGUUGGCGGGGUAAAGGCCCACCAAGGCGGCGAUCCGUAGCUGGUCUGAGAGGAUGAUCAGCCACACUGGAACUGAGACACGGUCCAGACUCCUACGGGAGGCAGCAGUGGGGAAUAUUGGACAAUGGGCGCAAGUCUGAUCCAGCCAUACCGCGUGGGUGAAGAAGGCCUUCGGGUUGUAAAGCCCUUUUGUUGGGAAAGAAAAGCAGCAGGUUAAUACCCCGCUGUUCUGACGGUACCCAAAGAAUAAGCACCGGCUAACUUCGUG